UACGAAGGGGGCUAGCGUUGCUCGGAAUCACUGGGCGUAAAGGGUGCGUAGGCGGGUCUUAAGUCAGGGGUGAAAUCCUGGAGCUCAACUCCAGAACUGCCUUUGAUACUGAAGAUCUUGAGUUCGGGAGAGGUGAGUGGAACUGCGAGUGUAGAGGUGAAAUUCGUAGAUAUUCGCAAGAACACCAGUGGCGAAGGCGCUCACUGGCCCGAUACUGACGCUGAGGCACGAAAGCGUGGGGAGCAAACAGG
rnacentral:rRNA from 1 species